GAUGAACGCUGGCGGCGUGCCUAAUACAUGCAAGUCGAGCGAACGGACGAGAAGCUUGCUUCUCUGAUGUUAGCGGCGGACGGGUGAGUAAAACGUGGAUAACCUACCUAUAAGACUGGGAUAACUUCGGGAAACCGUAGCUAAUACCGGAUAAUAUUUUGAACCGCAUGGUUCAAAAGUGAAAGACGGUCUUGCUGUCACUUAUAUAUGGAUCCGCGCUGCAUUAGCUAGUUGGUAAGGUAACGGCUUACCAAGGCAACGAUGCAUAGCCGACCUGAGAGGGUGAUCGGCCACACUGGAACUGAGACACGGUCCAGACUCCCACGGGAGGCAGCAGUAGGGAAUCUUCCGCAAUGGGCGAAAGCCUGACGGAGCAACGCCGCGUGAGUGAUGAAGGUCUUCGGAUCGUAAAACUCUGUUAUUAGGGAAGAACAUAUGUGUAAGUAACUGUGCACAUCUUGACGGUACCUAAUCAGAAAGCCACGGCUAACUACGUG
rnacentral:rRNA from 1 species